GGCGCCGUGGCUUAGUUGGUUAAAGCGCCUGUCUAGUAAACAGGAGAUCGGGGGUUCGAAUCCCCCCGGUGCCU
rfam:Pediculus humanus corporis strain TSDA 1103172086193, whole genome shotgun sequence.